CAGCAGCCGCGGGAAUACAGAGGGUGCGAGCGUUAAUCGGAUUUACUGGGCGUAAAGCGUGCGUAGGCGGCUAAUUGAGUCGGAUGUGAAAUCCCCGAGCUUAACUUGGGAAUUGCAUUCGAUACUGGUUAGCUAGAGUGUGGGAGAGGAUGGUAGAAUUCCAGGUGUAGCGGUGAAAUGCGUAGAGAUCUGGAGGAAUACCGAUGGCGAAGGCAGCCAUCUGGCCUAACACUGACGCUGAGGUACGAAAGCAUGGGGAGCAAACAGGAUUAGAUACCCGAGUAGUCCCUGUCUCUUAUAA
rnacentral:rRNA from 1 species